ACGGUGAAGGAAGCUUGCUUUCUGGAUCAGUGGCGAACGGGUGAGUAACACGUGAGCAAUCUGCCCCUGACUCUGGGAUAACAGUUGGAAACAGCUGCUAAUACUGGAUACGAACUGCGAUCGCAUGGUCGGCAGUUGGAAAGAAUUUCGGUCAGGGCCUUGUGCUCCUGGAGCGGCCGAUAUCUGAUUAGCUUGUUGGUGAGGUAAUGGCUCACCAAGGCGUCGAUCGGGUAGCUGGUCUGAGAGGACGACCGGCCACACUGGGACUGAGACACGNGUCCAGACUCCUACGGGAGGCAGCAGUGGGGAAUUUUGGACAAUGGGCGCAAGCCUGAUCCAGCAAUGCCGCGUGAGUGAAGAAGGCCUUCGGGUUGUAAAGCUCUUUUGUCAGGGAAGAAACGGGAGAGGCUAAUAUCCUUUCCUAAUGACGGUACCUGAAGAAUAAGCACCGGCUAACUACGUGCCAGCAGCCGCGGUAAUACGUAGGGUGCAAGCGUUAAUCGGAAUUACUGGGCGUAAAGCGUGCGCAGGCGGUUUUGUAAGUCUGUCGUGAAAUCCCCGGGCUCAACCUGGGAAUUGCGAUGGAGACUGCAAGGCUAGAAUCUGGCAGAGGGGGGUAGAAUUCCACGUGUAGCAGUGAAAUGCGUAGAGAUGUGGAGGAACACCGAUGGCGAAGGCAGCCCCCUGGGUCAAGAUUGACGCUCAUGCACGAAAGCGUGGGGAGCAAACAGGAUUAGAUACCCUGGUAGUCCACGCCCUAAACGAUGUCUACUAGUUGUCGGGUUUUAAUUAACUUGGUAACGCAGCUAACGCGUGAAGUAGACCGCCUGGGGAGUACGGUCGCAAGAUUAAAACUCAAAGGAAUUGACGGGGACCCGCACAAGCGGUGGAUGAUGUGGAUUAAUUCGAUGCAACGCGAAAAACCUUACCUACCCUUGACAUGUACGGAAGGCCGGAGAGAUCU
rnacentral:rRNA from 1 species